rnacentral:lncRNA from 1 species
AAGCGUAAAAGUUAGAGAAUUAUAAUUGCCAAGAACUGCAUUAUAGUUCGUAUUAGUGGUAGCACUAACUGAACAUGUAGAUCGGAUAACAACUACAAUAUAAUAGCAGACACAUGAUUGUCCAAAGGGUUCCACCUCUAACUCUCGCAACUACAUUUAAGACCAAAAUACCUUUUAACGGCCUAUUUUGAGCUUGAAAGAAGAACUGCUACGCCCCUUCUCUUCAGUAAUAUCCUAAGCUUCUCUCUUUUCCAUACUAUGAAGUGUCGCAUUAAGAAUGCCACAAGAUCAUGUGAUGUUGAUGUUGGUCGUUAGAAAACUCAGCUAGGACAAAAAUAACAGUGAUCUCCUUGUUGGUUGGCAGGCUUCCUGGUCCCUGCAAUUCUUCAUAAAAAAAUUAUCAAACUACGGAGUUUGUGAAUUUGUGUGACACUGUGCAGGAGCAAAAACCAUGGAUAAUUAUGUUAAUCAGUCAGUUGAACCAGAAAAAAUAUAAAGGAAACCGGAAAAACUCAUAGAAUUUGUUCCAGAUACUACUAUUGUCUAUAAUACUGCAUUCGUAAUGACAACAUGUCAACAUCUCCACAAGUUUUUAAUGAAAAUCAAACAAACUUAAGAGAAGAAUAAAAAAAAGUUCACUAAUAACUUGCCUGAAAUUGAAAGAACCCGAAGAACAGACAAAGUUAGAAUCAACAAUAUGGUAAACCAGAAGAUGAACCGCCUGAAGAAGAAGUUUUUGGGAGUAGGUGAAACCUAAUUGUUUAUUUCAAGCAUGAGUAGAAAUUUCGAGAAAGAGAUUUUUGUACUUGUGUUUGAAAUUUCUCCACUUGGAGAGAAAUUUGUCAAUAAGUACCAUUAAAUUAAAUAUUGUACCAAUUGACAAUUAUACCCUUAAAAGAUUAUUCUAGAUCUGAGUAUCUCUUAACAAUGUCUUAAUUUACACUUCUCAUCCUCUAUAUCAAUUUUGCAUGGAUGUUCGUUUAUAAUUCUGUGCGAAACAGAAAUCUUUUUGUUUUUAUUUUUUAUAAAUGGAGUAGAAGAGGAAAUUGAAGAGAAAAUUCACCAAACAUAUAGAUAUUUGAAAGAAAAACAUACCUCCAAUUUGCUGAAGGGUUUUAGAAAAGGAUUCUGAUGAUGAAAGAGGCCCUUAUAUAAGAUUUGACUGGUGCAGGUGAGAUUUUUAUAUGAAACAAGCCUACUUUCCUUCCCUGGAACUCGAAAUAAUCCCUCUGCUCUAACUACAUUUUACCUCCAAGAUUAUGAAAAUGUUUGUUCAUUUAUUAUUUCGCAAAAUAUUUUCAUCAAAUUCACACCCUUCAUUAUAUUUGAGAAUAAAACUACAAAGUAAUUGGGAAAAAGAAGCCAAGAUCCUAAGAAAAUUUAGCAAAUUGAUGUAGGCAUUUUUAUGGAUAUUGGUUACUAUUACACUGUGAAUCGAGAAAAAACUAAAAGAAAAAAAAAAAUGAAGUAGAAGAGGAGCAUGUUCAUAGUGUCUUGAAGAACAACUUUAACAUGAAGAAGACAACUUCAAGAAUUUUUGAAAGAAAAAUCAUACCUUGGAUUACUACUAAAAAUAAAACUUGACAAGAAGAUUUUUUUUUUUUUGGGUCAAAGAAAGAGAAAAGACUUUUGCUAGUCUCAUUAGGAAUUUCCACUAAGAUGCAACUAUCUAUUUACUUGUCCACUUUUCGUUUUAUAGUUGUCGCUAAUUAUUUGUCCAUUUUGACAAAUUAAGAAAGGACAAUUUUUUUUUAUUAUAUCCUCUAUUAAGUACUUUGAAAAAGGUAUAACUUUUUGAAAAUAUUAAUUUUUUAAUUCAUUCACUUCAUAAUUAAUAGGGGUAAAAUAGUAAAUUCAUUAUAUCAAUUUAAAAGUGGACAAUUAAUUAGAAAUAUAGGGAGUACUAUUUUGCCCUUGAAUAUAGUCAUAUUUUCAAAACUGCCCUUGGUCGUCCCACCCUUCAUGUUUCUAUAUAAUAAAAAAAAAUUAAAAAAUAAAUAAAUAUAUAUAUAUAUAUAUAUAUAUAUAUAUAUAUUUGUUAUAUUAUUGUUAUACAUUAUGUAUUGCUAAAAAGUUAGUAAAGACUGUUAUUAUGUAUUUUGCUCGUAAGUGAUCUAAUAUAGAAACUUAUUUGUUAUUUGUACUUUUAAUUUCAAUUUCAAUUUCAAUAUCAAAUAAAUGUACAGAUUGAGAGAAGAAAUGAAACAUAUUUUUCUAGAUUUAAGUAAAAAUAAUAGAGUAGAAGUAACAAUAAGGGUGUUAAUGUGAUGGUUUGAUCGGUUAUUUUUAAAAAAUUAUCAUCCUAAUUUUUCGACUAUUUUAUAAUGUAUAAUUAAAAUUAAAUUUCGUAAAACCAUUCUAAUCCCAAUUCAUGUGACACAACCGAUACAAAAAUUAGUGUCCCAAAAAGAAUAAUUUUAGCUAUAUAUUUUUUAUUUAUACAGUGAUAUUUUUUUCAUUUUUCAAGGAAAUACUUGUAUAAUUUUACAAUGGGGUAUUGAACUGUCACGACCCAAACCGAGUCAUGAGUGACACCCACACUUAACCUCCUAGGUGGGCGAACCAAGGAAUCCAAACCCCAACAUAUAUUAAUCAUUCAACUUACAAAAUACUAAUCAUAAUGUGGAAGCUUAAAUCUUAGUAGUAUAAGAAACACAAAUCCAUUAAAUUCAACUAUAUAUCAUUCCCAAAACCUGAAAGUCAUCACAUCAAGGACAUCUAAUCUUCAAAUACUAAGUCUAAGAGUAUUAAAGACACCAAAAUAAAUGAAUAAAAUAGUUUAUGUCUGAAAACUAAGGACAUCAUGCCAUGACCAAGAGAAUCCAACACGAGCUAGAAUGAAUAGCUCAUCUUGGAACCUGAUUGUGCUGGAGACUGGCUAGAGCUGAGGGCGAGUCGAAGUCACUGGUACAUUUGUUGCACUCCACAAAAAGAAAACAAAUAAAAACACAAGUAGGGCUCAGUACAUGGCAACAUGCAGUAGAUAUCAUCGGCCGAUUUAAAAUAGUAACUAAUAUGCAUAAAGUAAUAGUAUAAAAUCAACUAUAGCACUUAGCAUGUGAUAAACAACAAACAACAUGAACAAGUGACAAACGAAAAAAGUACAUAAUCAAUCACAAAAUUAAGCACACACACGAGGACUCAUGCCUCCAUACCACGCUCGUUUGGGAAAUGGGUUCUUUGAGAUUGAGUACAUUCAGUUAAUUCAAUAUGUUUUCCUAUUUAAUGUUACUGUGUCGGAACGUGACACCCCGAUCCAAUAAUAUCAUGUCAAAACGUGACACCCGAUACAAUAAUACUGUGUUGGAACGUGACACUCAGAUCCAAUAAUACCGUGCUGGAACGUGACACCCCGAUCCAAUAAUACCAUGCCGAAAUGUGGCACCCGAUCCAAUAAUAUCAUUAAUUUAUCAUUUAUUAUCACCACCUUUCACUUCAUUAACAAUAGUUCAUCAAACCUUCUUUAUUCAAGGCAUCACUUAGAUAGAGAGGGUUCACGAUUAUAAAUUUCACGGUCUAAGGAUUUCAGACCAAUCACAAACCACACAACCAAGCCACACAACCACACAAUCAAGUACAUAGAGAACUUCAUCACUCAAUGCAUAUUUGUAACAACCCAUAUUACGCAUAUGCUUGUUCUAUUCUUGUGAUACUUGACAUAGCCUUAUAUUAUAGGUGAGGGACCAUGUUUCUUAUAUGAUUAGUGUUGAUUUAAACUAUCUCGGAAAGUGAUGUGAUACCUUGCAGGUUUCAGCGUGUGUACUGCAAGUUAUAACUCCAACGGAAGUAUUUAAACUCGAGACGGUAAGGUGGUAAUUGAGCUUAAAGUUGAAAGUUAUAUGCUAAGUUAAAGAAAAAGAGAUUAAUAUUUAGAAAAUGGAAUAAAAUAAGUGAGCUGCUUGCUUGACUUAACUAAGCUAGUAGGUGACAAGUGGGUGCAUCACCUACUUUGACUAAUUGACCAGUCCAAAGGACUAAGUAGGUGCAUCACCUACUUGAGCUAUAUGGAUCUAGUUAAAAAGGCCAAGGUUUAUUGAUCAGAUUUGGGCCUAUGCUAAUGGACUCACUUGAGGCCCAAACUAAGUUAAAUAAAAUGAAAAUGAAAUUAAAGCCCAACAGCCAAAUCUGCUUAGGCCUAAUAUAUUUAAGCCCAAGUGAAAGCAAGUAGGUGCAUCACCUAGUUUGACCUUUUGAGCUGCUUGUUGUACAUAAGCAGGUGCAUCACAUACUUGACCAAUUAGUGGUUGAAAAUGGACUAAAAAAGGGAGGUUCUAGAGGAUAUUCUUAAAGGUGAAGAAAGCUCAAUAUAAGAUGUAUUGGCUGCUAUUCUCACUCAUUUUUAACACACAAUAGUGAGAAUUAACUCCAUCUCUCUCUCUCUUUUCUCUUCAGGAUUAAAACAGAAGCCUUAAAGUUCCUUCUAGGAUUCUUGAAGAAAUCCUCAUAUCUGCAAACCAAGGUAAGAGAAAUAAUUAUGGAUUUAGCUUAAUUCUCCCAUGGAAUACUAGAAAACAUGUUAUUCAUGCUCAAUUAUAAGUAGAAGGCAGAAGUUCCCACAAGCUACUGCUCACUUUCCUUAAUUAUUAAAAUAUUUUUCUCUUCUUCUUUGGUUCAAGUGUGAAGGGAAGUUGAACUUCUAGAGGAAUUCAAGUUAUAAGGAGAAGUUGCAGAAAUUGAGGUAAGGUGACUACUCCAUUUUCUUCCUCCUUAUAUAUAAGUUUGAGUGAGAAAUUAUGGGUGUGCUGUCAUAAAAGAACUCAAGGGGGUGGUGAGUUUAAUAAUUGGUUGUAUGAUAAAGAAUAUUUGAGGCUGUUUUAUGUGUAUUGUUGUUGGUGCAACUUUAGUAAUCUUGCAAAGGAUAUAUAAUGUAUGUAUUUGGCAGAGAAGGAGGGUGUGGUGAUACACAUUAUUUUAAGGGCUGUAUGGGCUCAUUAUCCAUCAAUGUUAGCGACUGUUUUAUGGGGCUCACGAUGUGAUAGCUGCUAAAUUUAGUUUAUCAUGACUUAUAUUGUAGAUUAAAAUCUAAAAUGGGAGACUGAAUCGUGAUAGUUGUAUUGGUCAGAGGAUAAGGUAUGUAAGUCUAUUCGAUUCAAUAUUCUUCGGCAUGAAAUCUGAUACUUGCGAUUAAUAUCAAUAAGUAAAUUUACUAGGUUCUAUUCCUAGUAAAGGAAACAUAGUGGCAGCGUACGAUCUCCAAAUAGCUAACAAUAUUUUUCCCCCUCCUUAGUGUAUAGAUAUACUUCAUUAUAUGUUCAGUAAUUAUCCUCAUAUGUGCUGAUAUAGAAAUGGUAUUUGCAAAAACAAGUUAGGUGAAUCCUCCUCUUAGUCAGUUGAAGACAAUUGUGUCAUUUAAUCUCACAAGUAAUGCAUUGAUGUUACAUAGCCCCUUAUGUCAUUGUUACUGCCUUGAAGUAUUAUUUGCAUGUCUUCUACUACUGAUCCAUAUUUCCAAAUCUCAAAAAUUAUUAUGACCUCCAAAACAACAAUUUCAAAGAUUAAAGAAUCUAAGUGAAGCAAUCUGUAUAAUUAUGGGUGGCAGCCCACAGGUAAAUGCCUAGCAUGGGUCGAUCCAAAUUGGUAUAUAAGGGUGGAAACUAAGGGGCGAAAGCCUAGCAUGGGCCGAUCCCAAUUUGUGUAAUUAUGGGGACCGCAUCACAGGGGUUAAAAUGCCUAGCAUGGGUCAUCCUCUUCUACCACUGAUCAGUUGGUCAUUCGUAUCACAUGCCUUAAAAAGAUCAUAACACAGAAAGGUAAAGACAAAAAUAUAACAUACAUGAUCCCACAAGAGUUAACAAAGGUGGUCUUCCGUUCUGAUUUAUGGACACAUAUAUUGAUACUUUCUUUCAUUCGAACUCUUAUUUUAUAUAUGUUAUUGCCUUACAUAUUCAGUACAUUUUUUCGUACUGACGUCCCUCGCGGGGGACAUUGCAUUUCAUGUUGCAGGCACAGGUACUCCAGCUAGUAGACCUCCUCAAUAGAAGCACACGACACUCAGCUACUUUUGGUGAGCUCUAGGUUGAUUCGGAGAUUUACUGAGUCCUUGGUAGAUUCAUUUUGGUAUUGUAUCGUAGUUAAGGGUAAGGCAGGGGCCGUCCCGACCUACUCUAAGGUUUUCUAUCUUUUAGAGGCUUUGUAGACUUAUGUAUAUGGUUCAGUUGCGUCUUAACAAGUUGUGGCCUCAAUGGUCAUGUCUUGUAUAUAAGUUUUGGGUCAACUUAUAUUGGUUUGUAUUGCUACAUCCUAUGUGAACUUGUCACAAGAUUGUCAUAGUUAUAUGCAUAGUAAGCACAUGUUACAUAUUGGUUCUCUCGGGCCUUUAGGGAAUCGGGUGCCUGUCCGUCUUAAUGGGAUUUGAGGCGUGACCAAAGUGGUAUCAGAGCAGGUCAUCUUCGGGAGUCUACAAAGUUGUGUUUGUGUAGAGUCUUGCUUAUGGAUGUGUUGUGCACCACAUUUAUAAACAGGAGGCUACGGGACAUAUAGAAGUUGUCUCCUUUCUUUCAUUUCUUAGAUCGUGCGAUAGAACCAGUGUUGUAGGUGAAUCAUAUCUAAUUUCUAAAUUGUUUUAUUAUAGCAAAGAUGCCAGUUACAAGAAGGAGUAAAAGUACUAGUAAGCGAGUAGAUGUGGCUGCCCAAGAAGGGACCAGCCAACCACCACCUAGUCAAGCUGUUCAAGAUGAGUCUCUAUCACAGACUUCCCCGACCCCUCCAUCUCCAGAAGACCUAAGGAGGGAAGUUGCACCUCAAGAACCCCUAUUAAUGCUACCGAGCAAGAUUUGAGGAAUGCAGUCCAAUUAUUGACUCUUAUAGUUGCUGGCCAUGGCCAAAGGCAAGAGGUCUAGUUGCAAGUACUAGUGGUGUAGAUAGAGCAACUGGCACGUGGAUACGUAAUUUCCUUAAUUUGGACCCUCCAUCAUUCACCGGGUCAGAUCCUAAUGUACAUCCACAAGACUUUAUAGAUCAGAUCCAACGCACUUUCGAUGUUAUGCAUGUAAGUCGUAAAGAAGCGCUCGAGCUAGCAACAUAUAGAUUAAAAGGGUGUGGCUAUAUUGUGGUAUGAAGCUUGGAAGCAAUCUAGGGGAACAGAUGCACCUUCAGUUACAUGGAAAGAGUUCAAUAAGGCAUUCCUUGACUAUUACAUGCCAUUGGAGAUUCGAGAUGCCCGUGCGGAUCAGUUCUUAAAUCUCCACCAACGAAGUAUGAGCGUGAGAGAGUACAAUCUCAAAUUUAAUUCCUUGUCCAAGUAUACUCCUUAUGUAGUAGCUACUAUGGAGGAUAGAGUUCAUCGAUAUGUGGAUAGAUUAGAUUCAUAUAUGGUUAGAGAUUGUACCAUUGCUUCGUUGAAUAAAGAUAUGGACAUAGCAAGGAUGCAAGCUUCUGCACAAAUGUUGGAGGAUCAAAGGCAAAGAAGAAGGACACAAGAGUCAGAAAUUGGGCAUUCUAAGAGGGCCAGAUCCAUGGGGCAGUUUACACCAUCCCAAGGUGAGUUUAGGCCUCGGUUCUUUAACAGACCACCUAGGCCAUCAUCUUCCUUCUCUACAGCUAGUUCCCCUCCUCGGUUUCAAGAGUCUAGGGGCAAUCAGUUUGGUUAAAGAGGUGAAAGCCAAGGUUCACAAACAGCGGGGUACCAAGAGCAGGGAAGUAUGAGCCAAUCAAGAGCUCCUCGACAGUCUUGUAAACAAUGUGGAAGAAAUCAUUUAGGUGCAUGUCGGUUUGGGACAAAUGUUUGCUUUUGGUGUGGUACAUCGGGUCAUAUGAUGAGAAAUUGCCCUCAUAGGGGGUGUGGGUGGUGUGGCACAACCUACUAGAUCAGUUGUUGCAUCCUCAUCAUCAGCACCUUCUUUAGGUAGGGGACAGAUGCCUACUGAUCGUGGUAGAAGAGCUAGGGGAGUAGAUAAUUCUAGUGGAGUUCAGAAUCGCACAUAUGCUCUAGGGGAUCGACAAAAUUUGGAAGCCUCGCCGGAUGUGGUUACAAGUACAUUCUCCAUCUUUUCACACAAUGCAUAUGCAUUAAUUGAUCCGGGGUCUAAAUUGUCAUAUGUUACUCCAUUGAUUGAUGGGAAGUUCAAAAGAACACCAGAAUUAUUAGUGAAGUCAUAUUAAGUAUCUACACCGAUUGGUGAGUCUAUUAUAGCUAGAAGGGUUUAUCGUAAUUGCAUUUAACUGUUUGUGAUCGUGAUACAUUGGCUGAUCUUGUUGAGCUAGAAAUGGUAGAUUUUGAUGUUAUAAUGGGUAUGGAUUGGUUAGCUUCUUGUUAUGCCACGGUAGAUUGUCGAACUAAGAUAGUGCAUUUCCAGUUUCCAAAAGACGCAGUCCUCGAAUGGAAAGGUAAUAUUGGAGCGCCAAGAGGUAAAUUUAUUUCUUAUCUUAAGACAAAGAAGAUGAUGUCCAAAGGAUACAUAUGUCAUCUGGUCAGAGGUAAAAAUAUAGAUGCAGAGCCACCAACUCUUCAAUCCAUUCCGGUGGUAAAUGAAUUUCACGAUGUAUUUCCUGAAGAUCUUUCGGGUUUGCCCCCAAAACGAGAAGUAGAGUUUGGUAUUGAUGUGAUUCCAGAUAAUCAACCUAUCUCCAUCCCUCCAUAUAGAGUGGCCCCAGCAGAAUUACGGGAGUUAAAGGAGCAAUUAAAAGACUUAUUAGGAAAAGGAUUCAUAAGGCCUAGUAUGUCCCCAUGGGGGGCACCAGUUUUAUUUGUACGUAAGAAAGAUGGCUCGUUAAGAAUGUGUAUUGACUACCGGCAGUUGAAUAAGGUAACGAUUAAGAGCAAAUAUCCCCUCCCUAGAAUUGAUGAUUUGUUUGAUCAGUUGCAAGGUGCGAAGUGUUUUUCAAAGAUCGACUUGAGGUCGGGUUAUCACCAAGUAAGGGUCAAAUAUAAAGAUAUUCCCAGGACAGCUUUCCGGACAAGGUAUGGUCGUUUUGAUUUUUUAGUCAUGUCAUUCGGGCUAACAAAUGCACCAGCAGCUUUUAUGGAUUUGAUGAAUAGGGUGUUCAAGCCAUUUCUAGAUGUGUUCGUGAUAGUAUUCAUAGAUAAAAUUUUGGUGUAUUCAAGAUCGGAAGAUGACCAUGCUAAUCACUUGCGGCAGGUUUUACAAAUUCUUCAUGAUCGUAAGUUGUAUGUGAAGUUCUCUAAAUGUGAGUUUUGGUUGAAAUCUGUGGCAUUCUUAGGUCAUAUUGUAUCUGACGAUGGAAUAAAGGUUGAUACUCAAAAGAUAGAAGUCGUAAAAAAUUGGCCAAGACCUACAACACCUAGGGAGAUCCGUAGUUUUCUUGGAUUGGCAGGUUAUUACAGAAGGUUCGUUGAAGGAUUCUCUUCCAUUGUUGCACCCUUAACAAAGCUAACAUACAAAGAAACCAAGUUUCAAUGGAGUGAUGCAUGUGAAAGAAGCUUCCAAGAGCUGAAGAAUAAAUUAACUUCUACACAUGUAUUGGUACUUCCAGAAGGAACAGAAGGGUAUGCAGUGUAUUGUGAUGCUUUAGGAGUGGGCCUAGGAUGUGUAUUGAUGCAGCAUGGUAAAGUAAUAGCUUAUGGCUCAAGGCAGAUGCUGCCACAUGAGAAAAAUUAUCCAACUCAUGAUCUAGAGCUAGCAGUAGUUGUAUUUGCUUUGAAGAUAUGGCGCCACUACUUGUAUGGAGUUCAUGUUGACAUAUACACUGAUCACAAGAGUUUGCAAUAUAUCUUUAAGCAAAAAGGACCUAAAUCUGAGGCAGCGAAGAUGGCUGGAACUAUUAAAAGAUUAUGACAUUGAUAUCUUGUAUCAUCCCGGGAAAGCAAAUGUAAUAGCUGAUGCGUUAAGUCGUAAAAUAAUGGCAAGCACUUAUGGACAGUCUGUUGAAAGACAAGGAAUAACUAAGGAUCUAUGUCAACUAGCUAGCUUGGGGGUUCGCCUUCUUGAAUCUCUAGACGAAAGGGUUAUUGUGAAAAAUGCGACAGAAUCCUCAUUAUUAGUGGAAGUGAAAGAGAAGCAGUACACUAAUCCUAUUCUAUUAAAGCUUAAGGAGAAUGUACAGCAGGGUAUGACAAAGGCAUUUGAGCUUACGCAAGAAGGAGUACUUCGAUGUCAAAACAGAUUGUGUGUACCUAAUGUAGAUGAAUUAAGAAAGAGGAUUAUGAUGGAAGCAGAUCAUUCAAGAUAUUCUGUCCAUCCAGAGUCAACUAAAAUGUAUCAUGACUUGAAAGAAAUGUAUUGGUGGGGGGACAUGAAGAAGAACAUUGCGGAAUUCGUUGCUCAAUGUCCAAAUUGUCAACAAGUAAAAGUGGAGCACCAAAAACCCUGAGGUUAUAUGCAGCGUAUCUAACUUCCAAUUUGGAAGUGGGACAUGAUCAACACGAAUUUUGUCAUUGGUUUGCCUCGCUCAUUUCAGAAGUUUGAUUCAAUAUAGGUAAUAGUUGACAGACUCACCAAAUCAGCACACUUCUUGUCUAUGAAGACUACAAGUUAAUUAAAGAGAUAGUUCGGCUACAUGGAGUGCCAAUCUCUAUUAUAUCAGAUAGGGGAGCUCAAUUCACUGGAAAUUUUUGGAAGUCAUUUCAGAAAAGUUUGGGAACACAAGUGAAUUUAAGUACAGCCUUUCACCCUCAAACAGACGGUCAGGCAGAGCGUACAAUUCAAACAUUUGAGGAUAUGCUACGAGCUUGUAUAUUAGACUUCAAAGGUAGUUGGGAUGAUCAUUUGUCGUUGAUAGAGUUUGCAUAAAACAAUAGCUACCAUUCAAGCAUUAAAAUGGCACCUUAUGAAGAUUUAUAUGGUAGAAAAUGUAGAUCCCCAAUUGGAUGGUUCGAAACAGGUGAAACUGCCUUAUUUGGGCCAGACCUUGUUCAUCAAGCUAUGAAAAAGUCAAAGAGAUACAACAGCGGCUAGAAACAGCUCAAAGUCAACAUAAAUCAUAUGUGGAUGUUAGAAGGAGAGGACUAGAAUUUUCUAUAGGGGGAUUGGGUGUUCUUGAAGGUAUCACCAAUGAAAGGGGUAAUGAGGUUGGUAAAAAAGGAAAGUUGAGUCCACGGCUAUAUAGGGCCAUAUAAGAUUAUCCGAAGAAUUGGCCAAGUGGCGUAUGAGUUAGAGCUACCUCAAGAGCUUUCAAUUGUUCAUCCGGUGUUUCACAUCUCAAUGCUUCGAAAGUAUUUAGGUGACCCAUCUCGUAUUACUCCUACUGAAGAUGUACAAGUUACGGGAGAUCUCACUUAUGAAGAAGUACCCAUUGCUAUUCUAGAUCGACAAGUUAGGAGGUUAAGGAAUAAAAAGGUAGCUUCUGUAAAAUUAUUAUGGAGGAACCAACAAAUAGAAGAAGUUACAUGGGAAGCGGAAGAAGCAAUGAAAUUGAAGUAUCCUCAUCUCUUUCAGAUCGAAGAGAAGGAUGAAAAUGCGUAGUUGAGGCGUUGACAAGUAAGUAUAAGUCUAUAUGUAUUAUGUGAUUAAUAGUAAUACUAACUUAGGCUUACACUUGUUUUGGCUGGAUAACCAUGCUAACAUUCGAGGACUAAUGUUUUAAGGGGGGAAUGAUGUAACAGCCCGUAUUAUGCAUAUGUUUGUUAUAUUCUUGUGAUACUUGACAUAGCCUUAUAGUAUAGGUGAGGGACCAUGUUUCUUAUAUGAUUAGUGUUGGUUUAAACUAACUCGGAAGGUGAUGUGAUGCCUUGCACGUUUCAGCAUGUGUAAUGCUUAUAACUCAACGGAAGUAUUUAAACUCGAGACGGUAAGGUGGUAAUUGAGCUUAAAGUUGAAAGUUAAGUGAUAAGUUAAAGAAAAAGAGAUUAAUAUUUAGAAAAUGGAAUAAAAUAAGUGAGUUGCUCGCUUGACUUAACUAAGCUAGUAGGUGACAAGUAGGUGCAUCACCUACUUUGACUAAUUGACCAGUCCAAAGGACCAAGUAGGUGCAUCACCUACUUAAGCUAUAUGAAUCUAGUUAAAAAGGCCAAGGUUUAUUGAUUAGAUUUGAGCCUAUGCUAAUGGACUCACUUGAGGCCCAAACUAAAUUAAAUAAAAUGAAAAUGAAAUUAAAGCCCAACAGCCAAAUCUAUCAAAGCCAAAUAUAUUUAAGCCCAAGUGAAAGCAAGUAGGUGCAUCACCUAGUUUGACCUUUUGAGUUGCUUGAUGUACAUAAGCAGGUGCAUCACCUACUUGACCAAUUAGUGGCUGAAAAUGGACCAAAAAAAGGGAGGUUCUAGAGGAUAUUCUUAAAGGUGAAGAAAGCUCAAUAUAAGUUGUAUUGGUUGCUAUUCUCACUCAUUUUUAACACACAAUAUUGAGAAUUAACUCUAGCUCUCUCUCUCUCUCUCUUUCUCUUAAGGAUUAAAACAACAGCCUUAAAGUUCCUUCUAGGGUUCUUGAAGAAAUCCUCAUAUCUGCAAACCAAGGUACGAGAAACACUUAUGGAUUUAGCUUAAUUCUCCCAUGGAAGACUAGAAAACAUGUUAUUCAUGCUCAAUUAUAAGUAGAAGGCAGAAGUUCCCACAAGCUACUGCUCACUUUCCUUAAUUAUUAAGAUAUUUUUUCUCUUCUUCUUUGGUUUAAGUGUGAAGGGAAAUUGAAGUUCUAGAGGAAUUCAAGUUAUAAGGAGAAGUUGCAGAAAUUGAGAUAAGGUGACUGCUCCAUUUUCUUCCUCCUUAUGUAUAAGUUUGAGUAAGGAAUUAUGGGUGUGCUGUCAUAAAAGAACUCAAGGGGGUGGUGAGUUCAAUAAUUGGUUGUAUGAUAAAGAAUAUUUGAGGCUGUCUUAUGUGUAUUGUUGUUGGUGCAGCUUGGGUAAUCUUGAAAAAUGAUAUAUAAUGUAUGUAUUGGGCAGAGAAGGAGGGUGUGGUGAUACACAUUAUUUUAAGGGUUGUAUGGGCUCAUUAUCCAUCAAUGUUAGCGACUGUUUUACGGGGCUCAUGGUGUGAUAGCUGCUAAAUUUAGUUUAUCAUGACUUAUAUUGUAGAUUAAAAUCUAAAACGGGAGGCUGAAUCGUGAUAGUUGUAUUGGUCAGAGGAUAAGGUAUGUAAGGCUAUUCGAUUAAAUAUUCUUCGGCAUGAAAUUUGAUACUUGCGAUUAAUAUCAAUAAGUGAAUUUCCUAAGUUCUAUUCCUAGUAAAGGAAACAUAGUGGCAGCGUACGAUCUCCAAAUAGCUAACAAUAUUUCCCCCUCUCCUUAGUGUAUAGAAUUACUUCAUUAUAUGUUCAGUACUUUAUACUUGUGUAAUUAUCCUUCUAUGUGCUGAUAUAAAAAUGGUAUUUGCAAAAGCAAGUUUGGUGAAUCCUCCUCUUAGCCAGUUGAAGACAAUAGUGUCAUUUAAUCUCACAAGUAAUGCAUUGAUGUUACAUAGCCCAUUAUAUCAUUGUUACUGCCUUGAAGUAUUAUUUGCAUGUCUUCUACUACUGGUCCGUAUUUUCAAAUCUCAAAAAUGAUUAUAACCACCAAAACAACAAUUUCAAAGAUUAAAGAAUCUAAGUGAAGCGAUCUAUAUAAUUAUGGGUGGCAGUCCAGGGGCAAAUGCCUAGCAUGGGUCGAUCCCAAUUGGUAUAUAAGGGUGGAAGCUCAGGGGCGAAAGUCUAGAAUGGACCGAUCCCAAUUGGUAUAGAAGGGUGGCAGCUCAAGGGAGAAAGCCUAGCAUGGACCGAUCCCAAUUUGUGUAAUUAUGGGGACCGCAUCCUAGGGGUUAAAAUGACUAGCAUGGGUCAUCCUCUUCUUCCACUGAUCAGCUGGUCAUUCGUAUCACAAGCCUUAUAAAGAUCAUAACACACAGAAAGGUAAAGACAAGAAUGUAACAUACAUGAUCCCACAAGAGUUAACAAAGGUGGUAUUCUGUUCUGAUUUAUGCACACAUAUAUUGAUACUUGGUUUCAUUCGAACUCUUAUUUUAUAUAUAUUAUUGCCUUACAUAUUCAGUACGUUUUUUCGUACUGACGUCCCUCGCGGGGGACGUUGCAUUUCAUGAUGUAGGCACAUGUACUCCAGCUAGUAGACCUCCUCAAUAGGAGCACACGACACUCAGCUACUUUAGGUGAGCUCCAGGUUAAUUCGGAGCUUUACUGAGUCCUUGGUAGAUUCAUUUUGGUAUUGUAUCGUAGUUAAGGGUAAGGCGGGGUCUGUCCCGACCUACUCUAAGGUUUUCUAUCUUUUAGAGGCUUUGUAGACUUAUGUAUAUGGUUCAGUUGUGUCUUAACAAGUUGUGGUCUCAACGACCAAGUCUUGUAUAUAAGUUUUGGGUCUACUUAUGUUGGUUUGUAUUGCUGCAUCCUAUGUGAACUUGUCACAAGAUUGUCAUAGUUAUAUGCAUAGUAAGCACAGGUUACAUGUUGCUUCUCUCGGGCUUUUAGGGCAUCGGGUGCCUGUCCGUCUUAUGGGAUUUGAGGCGUGACAAUAUUAAUUACUAUUAAGAGUCUAUCUAUCAAAUUGAAUUAAACCAUAACCUACCUCCACCGAAGAACCGAAGUCAAGCAAUCUACUUUUCCAAUACUUUUCCUUUCCUCAAUGCCUCCGAACCUUUCUAGUCUAUCAAAUAUAUAUGCAUAAUUUGUAAGUUAACGAGUCUAUAAACACUCAUAUAAUUCUAUGUCUAGCCUAGACCCAAAAAACUCACAUAAUUCUAUAAUCAAUUUCCUAAAGUUCAAAUCUAAGGGUAAGUCUUAAUUCCUCCAAUUAGUAUAACUUUAAUGUAAUUCAUAUCAUAUACUACACCUUAUAUUUAAUUACCUCUCUCAAUAAGUUAAAUCUUAGAUUAUAAUGUGAUAACAUAUAAACAGAACCUCAAACAUCAAAGGUUACUGCGUUAACAUUAGUAACCAGGAUGUAUAAUUUGCAUCCUGAAUUGAAUUUGGCCUAUUCUAUAUUAAUCAAGUCUUUUAGGUUAUCAUUAUCUCAUCAUUGCCAAUCAUCAUGCAUUUAUUAUCCACUACAAUUUGUCUCCCCCAAAUCUUAAGAACUAAGAUUUUAAACAAAAGAAAAUUCCAUUAAUGUUCACGUAUUCGCCUCUUUCCUUCUAACAACUAACCUUAUAAUAAUAAAUUAACUGCUCGACCAACCAUGAAGAGAAUUCCCACGCUGACACCAACCCUAACUCGAUUCAAUUUCAACAUUAUAAUAUAAUAAUUCCUACACUAGCAUGUUAUAAUUUUCCUACAUUAUCAUUUAUUCAUCUCUUUGCAAAGUAAGAAAAAUUUCUUGGAAUACCUUAAGCCGCCGCUUCAAUCUUGUUCAACAACCGUGCAAAUCUUCGAUCCUUUUUUUUUUUUUUUGUCUACAGGUUAUUUACUACCCUAAUAUUAUAUGACUAAUUAUAAAAAGUGGUAAAAGUGACCCACUAUUAAUUUUACUGUUAUUUUUUUUAACCACCAACUAAAUAAAUUAUUAAAACUACCCCACUAAUUUCAUAAUUAUAAUUACGAAUAGUCCAAAAUACUCAUUUAGAAUCUAUUGAAAAGUAUUUUAUGAAAUAAAAAGCUCUAGUACUCAAAACGACCAAAUGGGUCGUUACAUUAGAUAUUAAUUUACCCAUCGUUCAUCCUCGAACGAUCAAAAGUAGGUGAGGGUAAGAAAAGGUAGUUGUCUCAAUAAUUCCUUCAAUUUCACGAGCUUAAGUUAUAAAAAUUUGGUCUUUAGACAUCAGGUACUCAUCAAGGGAAAAUUAAGCUUAUCUAACCCCAAGAAGAAAAUGAUCAAGUAACCAUCCAUCGAGCAAUACACUCAAGCAUAUGUAACCUCUAACAACACUGUUGAAAUGCUAGACUAGUAGUUGUGAUUGUAGAUAACCCUUAAGAACGGUAGAACUAGACUCAAUGGUCCUCACAUUCAAUCACACAAAAUCGAAACAUGACCUCGACGACUAGAUGAAUAUUAAAAUUAUCAGACAACUAUAAAUACCCAAGAUAGCUCUUCUAUAAGCUCUCAUAAGUAAGGUGAUAUAUGUAGAACCACUGGAAUAUUUCACAGCUCCAAGACGACACCGAAUAUGUCAUCUGAGAUAACCAAGUCUUCCCAAACAUCCUAUCCAACCAAUAAGACAUUGCAGGAUCAGUACACCCAAUCCACCACUAAGGAUCCACCCACAAAAGUGAAAACACGUGUGGGCAUAGCUAGUGAAUCAUACUCCAAAUCAUGUCCAGGACAGAAUAGGUGGUCACAUAAGAAUGUACAUAACCAAGAUUGAAUAACACUAAAUACUUCCUCUAAAGAGCCCAUAUUAAAUAUUUACAUUCAGUUGACUCCAUUUAUUUGAUUUUCUAACUAUCCACAAUCACCAAUUUAGUCCCUAUUAUAAUUGCACACAUACUUGGUUUAUCGAACCCCACAUCCACUGAAGUAACACUCUUAAUACUAACAAAACAUCAUAACCACAUCGAUCAUCUACCUUACUCCCAACCAUCAUUAGUAUCAAAGUAUUCUUAUCAAAUACAUGUUCAAACUAUGGCCAUCUCUCUUUCUAUUUAAGAAUUUCAUGACAAAUACGAGUCCCAAACAAGGCUAAUAACACUAAUUUCAAAUUUGAUAGUACCUUUCCAUCGAGAUAAAACUCUUAAAUCACACCCAAAGUCAACUUCACACCACUUCCACAUUCCAUGCUUUAGUUACCAUUCUAAACCAUCACAUACCUCAUGCCAACACUUAGGGAAAUUCUUGGUCACUCAAAUUAUUCUGUAUACUAUAAGCUCAUAACCUCUAUUCACCAUCAAAUGUCUAUGUAAUGCAUCAUAACAUUCUAUGUAGUCUCAUCAAUAGAGUAGUAUUAAUCCAACUCUAAAUUCUUAAUAACCAUGUAGAAUUAUAUCUCACCUUGUAUAUCAUUCUUAAGUCAUCUAUCAUAAUUUGAGCAAUCUAACCCCACGUAAAACUCUAAAUUUUCCAUACUUCACUGUUUGUCACCCAAACCAAAACUCAAUCUCUAUAAAAGUCGAUGAUAAACUCCUAGUAAGUCUGUACCGAACUAGUUCACAUCUCACAGUCAUAUCUAAACUCAUAGACAAAAAUUAAUACAACCUUCAACUACACCCCAAGGGUUUAUACGAGAGGUCUUAUUCCUUCACUUUUCUCAAAUUCUUCCCAUGGUGAUUCCAAAUAUCUCACCCUUCAAUAUAUCAAACUCUUGUUUCUCUAGCUCGCUUACCGAUUUCAUUCUUUUACCAACAACCCAUGACGUUAUACUUCACACUCUAAACCAUCACUUUUAAGUAAAACCCUUCCAUAUGUACUUUAACAAUCACAAGUAACAAACAUUACAAUCUAAACCAUGCAUGAGUCCUUCCAAAUGCUCGAUACCCAACAUAAUCGAUCACUUCUUACCUUAUAAAUUCAAGCCAAAAAAAAAAUAUCACCACGAAUGAGGUCUUAUAAUGAAAAGUUUGAAUUGUGAAUCCAACUAUGUAACACAAUUCCUUUAUCUAUCAACAUUAGCUCAUACCUUGAAGAUUUUUAGGAAUUAAUAUAUCUUAGCUUAUCAUUGAUUACCUCUCCAUCGACCUUACCAUAUUCUUUUCUAAAAAUCCAACCGUACUCAUUACCAAACUCAAAAUCACAAAAGAACUUAUGCCACCGUUCUUAACUAAUAUGAUGAAUCCAUGACCCUAUUACCAUAAUCAGGGUGAAACAGAUGAAAAUCACUCGUCUCUAAGACCAAUUCUCAACUCCCUUAAGAUACAUCUUUAACCCUUGCAAUCAGAAUAACUAUUCUUGCUCUCGCCUCCUUCCGAAGGCUACACUGCCUCCCACUAAUUCUUUUCAUUAUGACUCUAGAUCCUUUAAAUUCUAUUCGAGCGACGUCCCAGCACCUCCUAAAACAUUCCAUCCAACCACUCUACUCACAAAUAGUAGCAAACCACAACCUUAGAUACUUACAAGCCAUCAUUACAAUACAAACAAUUGUUUAACCAACAAUCCUUAUCCUAUAGUUGCAUCUCAAUCACAAUUCAUCACGAACUAUUAUUACAAUCAUGCUCAGUUAUCCCUUGCCAUCACCACAAUGUCAACCUUUUCAUUUAUAUGACACCUCAAACCCAGUUAUACCAAUCAAAUCCAAAGGACUAACACAAUCUUAUACACAUUUUCUUACUAAAAUCUUCAAUUGCAUUCACGCGAGCAUACUCAUUGGACUUUCUUUACCCAUAUACUUAUCAUUUCGAUAUCAAUCCAUUCCUCUAGAGCUUAUGAUAACAUCACCAAUCCUUAUUUAGAAUCCUCAAGAUACACUUCACGACCUAAAUGCACUAAUACCUUACGAAAGACCCACUAGUAAAAUAUUUCUUAAAAACAAUGCUUAACCCAAGCAUUUGUAGUAACAAACUAGUUGGUUUCUCAAAUGUGAAUGCAACACCGAAUCUCAUUAUCUGAACAUGUCAUAAAAUUGAUAAUUCCUUAAGUAGUUAAUAUUCACACUUUAUAAUCAACAUAUUCGUUUCCACAUAACACUAGUACCACACCGUGAAAGUCUAUUAGACCCAUCACUAGAACACUUCAUAACAAUCGAGAAUAUCGUACCCAAAUAGCCCAGGCAUUUCUACCUAUUGAAUAACUGCAAAGAAUUAUCACAUUCAUUUUGUCUCUAGCCCAAGCGAUUCACAUUCUUUCUUAGAUCAAGUCGAUAACAAAGUAACACACUUUAUAACUCUAACCACAUAAACAUUGGUACUAUUGUAGUAGUCAUAUCAUGACCCUCUUUAAUAUACAAUCAAUCCAUGAAAUCGUAGUAAAGAUUCUAACCUCAAUUGGCGCAACCUAAUUUUAUCAUUCGCUAAACAACCCAUACAUGUUAUGAAAACUUUACUAACUGUAUUUUCUAAAGUAAUGAUGUUCAUUUUCUAGUUGUCCCUUAAGAAACUUCUUGCAUGUUGUCACAUAUCUAGAUAAAGUAAAAAUAUUGACCUCAUAGGCUGCAACACAUAUCUUUCGUUUCUCUAUAUUCAGGAAACCAUCUCUCCUCAUAUUGUUCAGAGUUUAGGGUAUAUAAUUAGAUGAAAAAGCUAGAAAAUGUUGCCUUAAGUCAUAGGUAGUGCCUUUACUAAUCGACACUCAACAUGAGACUAUCACCACAUUUUGCGUCUCCCCGAAACUAGUAUGUCACAAACUCAAUAGUAAGUCUCUCCACUAUAUUCAUUUUAUGAAGCAGCUCAAAAAAAUCAACAAUGAAAGCAUAAACAUCUUCAUAAUCAGUACCCAUGAAGAAUGAGGUUUUCAACUUUAUGAACUUAAUAAAAAAAAUCAUGUUGAUCACUAGUCAUUACAGGUCCUAUAGUCAAUCGAGAAAAUAUACCUAUUUCCAAGGACAUAUUUUUUUUUCUUUAUGGUGUUGCUAUUUCAACUUCUAAUACUCUAGUACUAACCAUAUGUGAAAUAGAGUGAAGAAGUUCAGAUACCAAUUUGUAUCACUUAGAUACCAAUUGCAUUCAAGUAGUAGCAAGAAAGAAAGAAGGAAUGAAGUUUUCCUAAAGUCCUAUAGCCUCUCGAAGAAAAGUAAAGGCGUCCCCGUACCGUUCCGCAAGACUCUACUAGACUUGUCCUUGUGUGAUGAGAUCACCGAACCCCUGGCUCUGAUACCAAGUUUUUCACGACCCAAACCGAGUCAUGAGUGACACCCACACUUAACCUCCUAGGUGGGCGAACCAAGGAAUCCAAACCCCAACAUAUAUUAAUCAUUCAACUUACAAAAUACUAACCAUAAUUCGGAAGCUUAAAUCUUAUUAGUAUAAGAAACACAAAUCCAUUAAAGUCUACUAUAUGUCAUUCCCAAAACCUGAAAGUCAUCACAUCAAGGACAUCUAAUCUUCAAAUACUAAGUCUAAGAGUAUUAAAGACACCAAAAUAAAUGAAUAAAAUAAUUUAUGUCCGAAAACUAAGGACAUCAGAGAAUCCAACACGAGCUAGAAUGAAUAGCUCACCCUGGAACUUGAUAUACUGGAGACUUGCUAGAGCUGAGGGCGAGUUGAAGUCACGGGUACAUUCGUUGCACUCCACCAAAAAAACAAAGAAAAACACAAGUAGGGCUCAGUACAAGGCAACAUGUACUGAGUAGUUAUCAUCGGCCGACUCAAAAUAUAGUAACUAAUAUGCAUAAAGUAAUAGUAUAAAAUCAACUAUAGCACUUAUCAGGUGAUAAAUAACAAACAACAUGAACAAGUGACAAACGAAGCAAGUACGUAAUCAAUCACAAUAUCAAGCACAAACACGAGGACUCAUGCCUCCACACCACGCUCGUUUGGGAAAUGGGUUCUUUGAGAUUGAGUACAUUCACUUAAUUCAAUAUGUUUUCCUCUUUAAUGUUACUGUGUCGGAACGUGGCACUCUGAUCCAAUAAUAUCAUGUCGAAACGUGACACCCGAUCCAAUAAUAUUGUGUCGAAAUGUGACACUUCAAUCCAAUAAUACUGCGUCGAAACGUGACACCCCGAUCCAAUAAUACCAUGCCGAAAUGUGACACCCGAUCCAAUAAUAUCACUAAUUUAUCAUUUAUUAUCACCACCUUUCACUUCAUUUACAAUAGUUCAUCAAGCCUUCUUUAUUCAAGACAUCACUUUGAUAGAGAGGGUUCAAGAUUAUAAAUUUCACGGCCUCAGGAUUUCAGACCAAUCACAAACCACACAACCAAGCCACUCAACCACACAAUCAAGUACAUAGAGAACUUCACAAUAUCACUCAAUGCAUAUUAAUCACUAUUAAGAGUCUUAUCUAUCAAAUAGAAUUAAACCAUAACCUACCUCCACCGAAGAACCGAAGAACCGAAGUCAAGCAAGUCUCCAAUACUUUUCCUUUCCUCAAUGCCUCCGAACCUUUCUAGUCUAUCAAAUAUAUAUGCAUAAUUUGUAAGUUAACGAGUCUAUAAACACUCAUAUUAUUCUAUGUCUAGCCUAGACCCAAAAACUCACCUAAUUCUAUAAUCAAUUUCCUAAAAUUCAAACCUAAGGUAAGUCUUAAUUCCUCCAAUUAGCAUAACUUUAAUGUAAUUCAUAUAAUAUACUACACCUUAUAUUUAAUUACUUAUCUCAAUAAGUUAAAUCUUAGAUUAUAAUGUGAUAACAUAUAAACAGAACCUCAAACAUCAAAGGUCACUGCGUUAAUAUUAGUAACCAGGAUGUAUAAUUUCCAUCCUGAAUUGAAUUUGGCCUAUUCUAUAUUAAUCAAGUCGUUAGAUUAUCAUUAUCUCAUCAUUGCCAAUCAUCAUGCAUUUAUUAUCCACUACUAUUUGUCUCCCCCAAAUCUUAAGAACUAAGAUUUUAAACAAAAGAAAAUUCAAUAGUUUCCCUUCAGUUCCAUUAAUGUUCACGUAUUCGCCUCUUUCCUUUUAACAAUUAACCUUAUAAUAAUAAAUUAACUGCUCGACCAACCAUUAACACUCUGUUUGGAUCAUUGUUUCAUAAUGUAUUGUAUUGUAUUGCACUCUAUUGUAUUGUACUGUAUGGUAGAUACAAUGUUUGGCUAGACUAUACUGUUUGUUGUUAUUUAAUAACAUUUUAAUUGUUUGGUUUGAUUGUAUCGUACUGUAUUGUAAUUUAUAAAUUUACUAAAAUAUCCUUAAUUAUUCUAGGGUAGGAAGUUUGACUAGAAUAAAUAAUAUAAGGUAAAGGGUAAAAUAGUAUUUUGAAAUAUUAUGUAAAGAUAUAAUUGGAAAAAGAAAUUAAGUAACAAUGGGAACACACCAAAUCGGUUAUUCCAUAAAAUAGGGAUUUUCAUUGUUACGUAACAACGAAAUUUAAUAAUACAAUACAAUAUAUUUUAAGUAACAAUCAAAACAAACAUUAUAGGUAUAGUAACGAUACAAUACAAUACAAUGGGUAACAAUGUUCCAAAUAGAGUGUAAGAGAAUUCCCACGCUGACACCAACCCUAUCUCGAUUCAAUUUCAACAUUAUAAUAUAAUAAUUCCUACACUAGCAUGUUAUAAUUUUCCUACAUUAUCGUUUAUUCAUCUCUUUGCAAAGUAAGAAAAAUUUCUUGGAAUACCUUAAGCCGCCGCUUCAAUUUUGUUCAACAACCGUGCAAAUCUUUUAAAAAAAAAUUCUUCUACAAGUUAUUUACUACCCUAAUAUUAUAUGACUAAUUAUAAAAAGUGGAAAAAGUGAUCCACUAUUAAUUUACUGUUAUUUUUUUUAACCACAAACUAAAUAAAUUAUUAAAACUAUCCCACUAAUUUCAUAAUUCUAAUCACGAAUAGUCCAAAAUACUCAUUUAGAAUCUAUCGAAAAGUAUUUUAUAAAAUAAAAAGAUCUAGUACUCAAAACGACCAAAUGGGUCGUUACAUGAACUACAAAGUAAUUAAUGAAUUCCAGCCUUUUUAAACAUACGUUUUUGGGAUAUAUUUUGGAAAAAAGAUUGAACUAUUUUGAGAAAAUAAACAUUUUGAUACACGAAAAUUAUGAAAAUUAUUAUUCUCUCCGUUUUAAUUUAUUUGUCUUAUUUUUCUUUUUAAUUUUUUUUUAAAAAAAUUGAUAACUCUUUAAUUUUUUACCUUAAAAUCACAAGAUUCAAAAGAUAUUUUUGUAUAUUCUUCAUUUUUUUUGUUUAUGACUAUAAAAUUUAAAAGUUUUUUUUUUAUCUUCUCAAAUUCUGUAUCAAGUCAAAAUCAAAUAAAAAGAAGAUAUAAGUAAAAAUGCUCAUUAUAUGAGUAUUAAGAUUAGUAUUUCAAAAGAUUUAUUAUUUGUCAUCAAAGUACCGAAAAAGAGAAAUAAUUGUGGUUAUAUCACCAACCUCAACAUUAGAAAGUUGGCAAAAAAAAUUAUGGUGGUUGAGGCACACCAUGUAAUAGUUGUAUGAGGGAUUAUUUUAAUAGAUAAAAAUUUAUGGAUCCUAUUUCUUUAUAACUGUUUUUUUUCAUUUCUCUUCCCACUCCUCCAUUCCACCUUUUAUUUACCCCUCCAUGUAGAGUACGGAGUUACCUUUUGUUAAUUUUUUUUUAAAAAUUUAAAUAUAUUUCAUUACACAAUAAAAAUAAUAAUAUCCUAAAAUUAAUAUUUCAUUAUCUCUUUUUCGCAUUAUUUCUCCAAUUCUUCAAUAAACAAUUGUAAUGUCCUAAAAUUAGUAAUUCAUUUUUUUAUUAUUUUGAUAAUUCAUAAUAUUCAUUUGUUAAAAAAUCAAAUAUAAAUAAAUAUGUUAAUAUUAAUGUAGAUUUAAAGUCAAAUAAUUACGUAUUUAAAAAAGCUAAAUUAAGAUUGUGCUCUUAAUGUCAUACAAAAUCAAUUGUAUUAUUUCAAGGACAAAUAUAAAUAGUUAUUUAAAAUUACUUGUAAAUCAACAAAAUCAAAAUAUAAUUUAAUUGUAUUUUUUUUUCAUUUUUACUCUCUCUAUUAAUUUAUUAUUUUUUGCUCUUGAAAUUCAAACUAUAAAAUAUUUCUUAUUAUAUUAAUAUGAUAGGAAAUGCAACUAAUAAUUAUUUUUUUUGGUUGAAUUGCAACAUAGUGAGAAGGUUAUAUUUUUUGAACAAACACUAUAAGUUGCAAUUUUUAUCAUGUUAAAAUAAUAAUAAAGUAAUAAUUUUAAAAAUAAUUAAAUUUCACAUAGCUUGAAUUUCAAGAAUAAAUAUAUUAUCAUAUAAUUGAGAGAGUAUGUAUGUAGGAGUUUAUGGAUGAUUUUCGAUUUUGGGUUACAUGAAAAUAGUAACAAAACUUAUGUAAGUAUUCAUCAAGAUUACUAAUGGUCUUUAUGUUAUAUUUUCUUGUUAGAGAAUAUUUGAUACAUUUAAUGUUUACGAAAGUAAAAAAAAAUGAAAUUAUUGAGAAGAAAAAAUAAUAAUUUUAUACUCCUUUUAUUUUUCGUACUAGUUAUUUUACUUUUUUAAUACAUUCUUUUAAGAAAUUAUUAAUAAAAAUGAUAAUUUAUUAAUUUACCUUUAUAUUUAUUUUAUUUUUGCAAUUUUACAAAUUUUUAUUUAUACUUUCAAAAAGAAUUAAUGGUUAGGGAAUGAAAAUAAAAAAAAUUCUAGUUUACUUUUUGUUAAUUGAUAAAUAAUUUUAAUAAUUAUUUUUAGUAAUUUAGAUAAUUAAUAUAGUAUAGGAAAAUAAUACUAAAUGUUAGGCGUAUGAUGAGUUUAACUAAAUUUCAUACUUUCAAAUUAUUUGAAGAUAAGAAAAAUAGCAAAAUUUGAAAUAAUGGUAAAAAAAACAAGAAGUCAAAAAGUUGAAUAAUAGGAAAAAGUUAAAAAGGAAGAGAGAGAAAAAACUUUGGCCUAUUUUUUCUGAAAAUGGGACUCAAGAAUCCAUUUGUCAAAUUAUGAAAUGAGCCUCACACAACUCUUGUAUGCCACCUCAUACUUAUCCCUCAACCACCAUAAAGUUUUUCAAAGUUGGCAAGUGAAAUGAAAAUAUCCAGUGGGGCCCAUGAUAAUCAUACUGACAUAAAGUUGUCUGUGUAAGAGCAAAAGGUUAAAUUGACCAAAGGAUCAAAAUAUUUAGUAAAUCAGGUUUUGGGCCAAUAGUAUGACAUCAUUUUAAUAGACGACACAAAUUUGGCAUUUCAGAGAAACUAAUUGGUUUUAUUGAUAUUUGUGGGUUACCAGCAAAAUACUAUAGCUUGGAGAAAGUAAACUUAAUAGACAAAAAUGCCCUCAAAACAAAUUUUCUGACAUUAAGCUAACAUGUUGACGGAGAGGUGCUUCACUCUCACUUCUAUAAUAUCAUAUGCCCGUGCCUCGCAUGGGCACCCUUUAUCUAACAUGUUGACGGAGAAGUGCUUCACUCUCACUUCUAUAAUACUAGAUAAAGGGUGCCCGUGCAAGGCAUGGGCUUAUGAUCGAAAUAACUUUAAUUGGUACUCCCUCCGUCCAAAAUUGUUUGUCAGGGUAAGGUCAUGCACACCCCUCAAGGAAAAUUUAAUACAAGGUGUAAUUUGACUAAUAUAACCUUACUAUACCAAGAAUACCAAAAGUCCACAUAACUUUUCAAUUGAACUACACUAUCAUUAAGGGUAGAAUUGGAAAAAAGUGACUAAUUAUUUCUUGAUUGUUUAAAUUGACAAUUAAUCUUGGACAUCUAUUUUUAGUAUACCUGCCAAACAAUUGUGGACGGAGGGAGUAUAACUAAUCUCCAGAUACCCCCAAUAAAGCAUCCAAAUUAUAACAUGAAAUAGGGAACCAUCAAAAUAAAAUGUAGUGGUACUGAGUUGGUGCUCUCGUACAUUCACUAUCCCAGUAUCAUAAGUACCACCAUUAAUAUUAUAGCUAUAACACGGUACCUCCAUGAAUAUAUUAAUUUACACAAAAUAUAUCAUACUAUUCACAUCCAUAAGAGGUCAUAACCAGCAACCCUUUUAAGUUUGGGUAGAAACAUGUGCAGCCCAUAAGUGGCUAUUAGAUGGCUAGUCUCGGCAGGAAUUCAAGAAAAGUUGAAAGCUCAUAAUUCUUUCCUACCUAGACAUUGAACAAUUCAUACACAAACUCUUGAAUCCCAGUGAAAAGAAAGAAAAACUAACUACCUCUGCUAUUAAAAUUCUAAUUGAAAAGACAAAUACCCGAUGUAGAAACUUUUGGUAGAAAAAUAUAUAAAAUGUUGUUUUACUCCUCCCUCUAUUCUAAAUUGAACCUCCAUGUUUAACUUUAGCACAAAUAAGAAAAUGGCCCCUGCAAAAGUGUAUUGCUAAAGUUAGAGAGCAUGAUACCUUUCAACAUGAAAAUGUUUUACUGUUUUUAUUCCCAAGAAACUUCUGGUGUUCCCUCAACAUCUUCAAAUUCUUGCCCUUGCUUAACUAUACAAACUUGAAAUUUCCUUUUUAGCAUACAUAGACAUAGGUAGUGAACUGAGUGUCUUUCGUAAGUCCUAUUUGCUCGAAAAUUUUGUGUAUUUCCAGAUUACUAAACUAUUUUAUUCCUAAGGAUUUUCUUAAGGUAGAGAGGUAACGGCUGCUUGGGAUCAAUCACAACGUAAUAAUCUAGCUCAAGCAAGUGUUGUGGCAUAUAAAAUUGGUGCCCGAAAAAAUAACAAUUUCUGUUUAUAGAGGAAAACACUAUCACACCAAAGCAAGAAACAGAAGUACAAAUGAGUAACAUGCAUCUUUUUUCCUUUUAGGAAAAGUUUUAAAGACAAUUCUAACUUAUAUUACGCAGUCGGUACUCAUCUGCCUAAAUGUUGUAAUAUUAUCAACUCUGGGAAGACCUCCUUUGAGGUAACGAAGCAAUGUUUUCUACUCGAAUUACAUAUAAUUUCAGUCCACAAGUUCCCCAGAUAUCAGAUUCACAUUUGACAAGUUAAUUGAAGAGAUAAUGGAAAUAAACACACUUGAACUAUUACUUCUCCGCGAGCUUCACACGUGAACAAUUGGUUGUUCUCCUUUUCUUUUCCUACUUGAACUAUCACUAUGUGCAUAUCAUUCUUGAUAACUUUUUCAUGAGUUUCACCCGCGAACAAUUUGUUCUCCUUUUCUUUUCCUAACUAAACUAUCAUCAUUUAUGUAUUAUAAGGGGAAAAUGAUGGUUUUUAUGUUCUUUUGGAUAGCACAGGACAGGUUAAUUAAUGCCUCAGACUGAGAGUUGAGGUGAUGCCUCUACAGGUACUCCCGUAGCCAAAAUCAAAGCUCUACCUCUCUUGCUUCGUCUUCCUCUGUUACGUUGAUAGUUUUGCCCCUUCAGGUAUCAGCUGAUUACUUUUUCUAUAAUUGUUCCUCAAGAUUUGAUAUCUUCUUUCUUUCUGUUGUUAGUAAUCCAUCCUAUGUGUGUUACUUUUUCAUCAAUUCUAAUACUCCCUCCGUCCCAAUUUAUGUGGCACUUUUCAUUUUUCGAGAGUCAAACAAUUUAAGUUUGACCGAGAAUUUGCGCAUCGAAUCUUCAAUUUUUUGAAAUGAAAUUUAUAUAUUUGUAAACUACGUAAAAAGUACUAUAAGUCACAAUAAUUGAUAAUUCAAAAUGCUUAAAAGAUCUAUGAACAAUUUACGGUAAAAAAUAAACUUGUUUGAAUCUCGAAAUCCGAAAAGUGCCACAUAAAAUGGGACGGAGGGAGUAAUUCCUUCGUAAAAUUUGACUACAUCCAGAUCCUAAGAGACUACUAAGAGUGACAACAAUGUAGAAAAUAGAGAGAACCAAGGUAGCUUAUCGAUCUAACCACUGGCAUGUAGAACAGUUUGCAACAGGGGAACUAUUUACAUUGUUAAACUCUUUAAAAUGAUGCAGUUGUCUUGCAAAGUUUUGAUCUUUUUACUCCCAAGUUAAUUGAAGAGAGAACGGGAUUUCACACGUGAACAAUUGGUUGUUCUCUUUUUCUUUUCCUACCUGAACUAUCACAAAUAUAUAUCAUUUUUAAUAACUCUUUCGCAAGUUUAACACGUGAACAGUUGGUUGUCCUCUUCUUCUUUUCCUGCCUGAGCAAUCAUCUUCUAUGUAUAGUAAGAGAAACAGUAAUAUUUUUUUAUGUUCUAGUGGAUAACGCUGGACAUGUCAAUUAAUGUCUAAGACUCAGAGUCCUUAUAGACCAAUAAGAGUGAUAGCAAUGUAGAAAACAGAGAGAACCAGAGAGUAGUUUAUUGAUCUGAUCGCAUAUACAAUACGGAAAAAGUAACUCAAUAUUAUCGUCAACCAAAAUUACCACUUACUAAGAGCAAAACCUCGUGAACUCCAGACCGAACUUCUUUUCAUUACUACACGUACAGGGCAUUUUUGGAAGGGGAAAAAUCAAAAAAUGUUUCCUUUAUUCUAAUUUAUAUGACACAUAUGCAAUUUCGAGAGUUAAUCACAUUUUAAUAUGCUUUUCAAAUAUUUUCUUUAUUUCCAUUUCAUUUUUAUAUUCUUUCAUCUGUUCAUGUGAAAAUUCAUCAGAGGUAAAAACAUCAGUCUUUUGGUUGAUCUUUUAGGACCUAAUGACGAAAUAACUCAAAAUUAUAAGCAGAAGUAAGUUAAAUUUUUCAUUGAAAAUCGAAGCAUGAGUCAGCAAUAUUUUCAAAUUUAAACUCAAAUGUGAAGUACACAAUAAUCUGAAAAACCCCUUGCAGCUAUAACCUUAGGAUGGUUUCAAUAACAAAUUUUCCCCAAGUCAAAAUAACAUUAGGUUUAAACCGAAGGUAACAAUUUAAAGUAACAAAUACAACAUUGAACAGAUGGAAAGAUGCAUUAGAAGAAGAAAACUCAUCAAAUCAGAAACAGAAGCAUACCUUUUUGUUCGUUCAUAAAAGAGAACCUCUGAGGAGUUGAUUUGAAUCAGCACAUAGUGAAUGUGUUGUUUUCCAUGGAAAUAAAGGAGCUUUCAAAAACACACGGCAACUGAUGACGGAAAGGCAAAGACGACGCCUUCCUUUCGGAUGACCACAAGGGAUAUGGAAUGCAAAGAUUUUUAGAAUCAGCUACCACAGAUUAAAGGUGGAAUUGAAACACACGCGUCAACCAAAGAAAGAAAUUGAAAAGAGAAAUUACCAGUUUACCCUUCGAUUGUCCGACCAAACCCUCUCUUAUUAAGAAUUAUUAUAUAUCUAUAUAUAUACUAGG